GAGGAGGGGCGCGGACGCCGGAACCCGCCCAGACCGUGUGGAAGCUGGGCGGGAGCCAGGUGCUCCUGGACCAGGUCCCCCUGGACCAGGUCCCCGAGGAGGAACGCGGCCUGGGGUCUGCGCCGCCGCUUGCCGUCGUCUCUGCUGCCAUCGCCGGGCAGGGAAUACUAUACAGGACUGAAAAAAAUAAUGAACUGGAGCCUCACACCACGUAAGAAUGAGUAUCACAAACACGUUGAGCAAAAGAAGAAAGACCGAAAGGAAUACACAUAAAAAAUAGCAUUCACAUCAUAAAAUCACAAAAUUAAACAUUACUCAAUGAAGCAUACACAGAUGAUGAAACCAAAAUAGAAGACCAAGGGAAAAAGAUCAGGACAGAGGACAGGAGUUAUCUCUGAAGGUACAGAGAGGAUUGAUGAAGUCACCGGCUGGCCUCUGGGGUGCUUGGCAGUACUGUUUACUGACCCAGGAAUAGCUAUUCUGUAAACUAUACAGAUAUUUUAUAUACUCUUCUGUAUGUAUAUCUCACUGUAUUAAAAAUUACUAGCAAAAUUA